UCAGCCGUACUCCAAUGCUCUAGAUUAGAGUUUGAUCAUGGCUCAGAUUGAACGCUGGCGGCAAGGCCUAACACAUGCAAGUCGAACGGUAACAGGAAGCAGCUUGCUGCUUUGCUGACGAGUGGCGGACGGGUGAGUAAUGUCUGGGAAACUGCCUGAUGGAGGGGGAUAACUACUGGAAACGGUAGCUAAUACCGCAUAACGUCGCAAGACCAAAGAGGGGGACCUUCGGGCCUCUUGCCAUCGGAUGUGCCCAGAUGGGAUUAGCUAGUAGGUGGGGUAACGGCUCACCUAGGCGACGAUCCCUAGCUGGUCUGAGAGGAUGACCAGCCACACUGGAACUGAGACACGGUCCAGACUCCUACGGGAGGCAGCAGUGGGGAAUAUUGCACAAUGGGCGCAAGCCUGAUGCAGCCAUGCCGCGUGUAUGAAGAAGGCCUUCGGGUUGUAAAGUACUUUCAGCGGGGAGGAAGGCGAUAAGGUUAAUAACCUUUGUCGAUUUGACGUUACCCCGCAGAAGAAGCACCCGGCUAACUCCGUGCCAGCAGCGCGGUAAUUACGGGAGGGUUGCAAGCGUUAAUCGGAAUUACUUGGGCGUAAAGCGCACGCAAGGCGGCUUGUCAGGUCCGGUUUUUAANUCCCGGGUUCAAACCUNGGGAACUUGCUUUCCNAACUGGCGGCUAAGUCCUCGUCCGGCGGGGGGNAGACCGUCCCGGUCGUUCCGGGGCACAUUGGCUUCGAUCNUUCGGCGGCNGUAUCCGCUGGCGCANGGGGGGCGCCCUUCCGANUGCUUCGNCAGCGCCUCGGGCCGUCGUGGCGCCUAUUACUCNCNCUCNCCCCCGCAUUAUGAUUANGGUUUCCCGCGGCGCCGCNUCUCUAUCACUCCCGUGUNUCGGUGCUGCUUCUCUUGAGGCCGCGUGUGUGUGUGCGUCCUACUAUCCUUAUCUGUAUUUACGUNNNNUC
rnacentral:rRNA from 1 species